UUCGAAAGUGAGGCUAUUCGCCAGCCAUUCAUCAUUUAAAUGAGUUACCGCACUUUGAGAUGCGAAUACAGAGAAAAUAUUAACAAGUUGAAAUUACAACAUGUAAUGAAAAUUACUUUAAAGCCAUAGAAAAGAAGAAAUUUGAUUUUUAAACCGGAAGUGCAUAAAAAACCGCGACCAGAAGCGGCGUGGAGAUGGACGAAGAGAGCGGAGAGCUAUUGUCCCAGGACAUAAUAGAGG
rnacentral:lncRNA from 1 species